rnacentral:tRNA from 1 species
UAAGAAGAAGUAUAGUAGGAAGUACAGAGAAUUUUGAUUUCUCAGGUAUAGGUUCAAGUCCUAUCUUUUUAG